rnacentral:rRNA from 1 species
GAUGAACGCUGGCGGCGUGCCUAAUACAUGCAAGUCGAGCGAACAGACGAGGAGCUUGCUCCUCUGACGUUAGCGGCGGACGGGUGAGUAACACGUGGAUAACCUACCUAUAAGACUGGGAUAACUUCGGGAAACCGGAGCUAAUACCGGAUAAUAUAUUGAACCGCAUGGUUCAAUAGUGAAAGACGGUUUUGCUGUCACUUAUAGAUGGAUCCGCGCCGCAUUAGCUAGUCGGUAAGGUAACGGCUUACCAAGGCAACGAUGCGUAGCCGACCUGAGAGGGUGAUCGGCCACACUGGAACUGAGACACGGUCCAAACUCCUACGGGAGGCAGCAGUAGGGAAUCUUCCGCAAUGGGCAAAAGCCUGACGGAGCAACGCCGCGUGAGUGAUGAAGGUCUUCGGAUCGUAAAACUCUGUUAUUAGGGAAGAACAAAUGUGUAAGUAACUAUGCACGUCUUGACGGUACCUAAUCAGAAAGCCACGGCUAACUACGUG